UAAGUUGUCACGGGAGGAGCAGGCGCAGUGUCGACGACAGGAGGAGCUGAUCCGGCCGCUGCAUAGGUCUUAUCGGCGGUUGAUCCGGCUACUGGAGAUGUCUCCUUUGCGGAGGUUGAUCCGGCCGCCGCAGAGGUCGCCGUGUCGGCGGUUGAUCCAGCCGCCGCAGAGGUCUCCUUGUCGGCGGUUGAUCCGGCCGCCGCCGCAGAGGUAUCUGAUCCCGCGGCCUUGUCCCCUGGCAGCUUCGUCAGAGGAUACAGGUCCUCGAGCACCGCGUCGGCGAAAUCCAGCAAGCUCCACAAUUGCACGA
rnacentral:lncRNA from 1 species